UUUUACCUUGACCUGAAAUUGAAAGAACCUAGUGGGGAAACCCCCACUCAACUCCCGAUUCAGUGUGCAUCCAAGAAUUACGAACAGAACA
rnacentral:pre_miRNA from 7 species